GCUUGAGAGCGCAGAGAGGGGCUAGUCGGUUUUCCCGUCUGGUCGCGCGUUGCAGCUUUCGAGCCGCCCUUUCCUCUGGGUGUCGGCGGUCAGUGCUACCGUAUCAUGUGCCACGAAGGACCCGAGGUGCUGGAAGAGGAGGUGUCCCUCAGCUGCUGUCCCUGCAGCGAGGCGCCCUGGGAGCUCUGGCGUGGCCCCUGCUUCAGCACUGCCUGGCCUGCUGUCUCUCCGCCAGGACGGAGGACUGGAGCCUGCGGCGUCCCUGAGAUCCCGGGGCUGGAGCCCGUGGUGUCCCAAGUGCAGUGCUGCCUGCAUGUCAUAUUUGGGGUUUUUUUUGUUUUUCUUUAAAUUAAUUAAUUUAUUUUUGGUUGCGUUGGGUCUUCGUUCCUGCGCGCGGGCUUUCUCUAGUUGCUGCGAGCGGGGGCUACUCUGUUGCGGUGCGCGGGCUUCUCACUGCGGUGGCUUCUCUUGUUGUGGAGCACGGGCUCUAGGCGCGCCGUCUUCAGUAGUUGUGGCACGCGGGCUUCAGUAGUUGUGGCUUGUGGGCUCUAGAGCGCAGGCUCAGUAGUUGUGGCGCACGGGCUUAGUUGCUCCGCGGCAUGUGGGAUCUUCCCGGACCAGGGCUCGACCCGUGUCCCCUGCAUUGGCAGGCGGAUUCUUAACCACUGCGCCACCAGGGAAGCCCCGAAGUUUUCUGUAAUAAAAUGUAAAACAUGUCAGGGGGAGGGAUUAAUUAGGAGCUUGAGAUUAACACACAGACACUACUAUGUAUAAAACAGAUAACCAACAAGGACCUACUGUAGAGCACAGGGAACUCUGCUCAAUAUUCUGUAAUAACCUAUAUGGAAAAAGACUCUGAAAAAGAAUGAAUAUAGGUAUAUGUAUAACUGAAUCACGUUGCUGUACACCUGAAACUAACACAACAUUGUAAAUCAACUAUACUCCAAUAAAAUUUUUUAAAAACUUAAAA